rnacentral:lncRNA from 1 species
AAUAGGAAGCAUUAUGAUCAUUCCUGUGUCUACAGUUAGAUUUAUUUGUGAGCCUGAGAACACCCUCUCUGAGGUUUUUUUUUUUUUUUUUUCUGAGAUGGUGUUUCGCUCUUGUUGCCCAGGCUGGAGUGCAGUGGUGCGAUCUCGGCUCACUGCAACAUCCACCUCCGGGGUUCAAGCGAUUCUCCUGCCUCAGCCCCAUAAGUAGCUGGGGUUACAGGCACCCAUCACCACAACCAGCUAUUUUUUUUUUAUUUUUAGUAGAGAUGGGGUUUCACUAUGUUGACCAAGCUGGUCUUGAACUCCUGCCCUCAGGAGAUUCAUCCACCUUGGCCUCCCAAAGUUCUGUGAUUACAGGCGUGAGCCACCGUGCCUGGCCUCCUUCUUGAGUCUGAAUGGGGCAGGGAGGAGUGCUGAAGUGCUGUCACAAAUCCCUGAUAACCCAUUGGAAAAUCUAUAAAGGUGGAGUCACACCCCAGGGACCCUAUCCAGUGGUUGCGAGUUCUGUUUUUCUACCCAGUGAUAGAGCCAGACUGUUUUUAUGACAUUGUGAUCCAGCCAGCUCUUUGCUAUAAUCAAUGUUUCCAUUCUUUUCCAAAAUAAACAUGUGGACGGUCAUUUCCAAACAGAGAAAUGAAAGUUUUCCAUUCCUAGGUGCAGUGCAUAUAGUUUUGCAAACAAAGAAUUCAGAAAAGGAAUGUAAUCUAAUCUCUGGUGACUUUGUAAUUUGUCUGGGGCAUUAGAUCUUGGAAGAUAAUUCUUUUCUUUCAUUGAGAUUCAGGUAAAUUCCCCCCCACCCCAACCCCCAACCUCCUUUCUGGCUUCGUACAGACUUAUCAAGCAGAAUGGCUUAAAGACAAUAGGACCUUAUUGUAUCACAUUUCAGGAAUGAGCAAUGAGGAAACAGGAGCCAAGCCUGGAAAUGAACAUGUCCUUGUGAAUGACCAAGAGAAGAUAGGAGUUAAAAUAUGCAACUGUUAUGGUGCCAGAAAAUUGUCUGCCCUCUUUGAACGAACUGGAAUUACCACAGCUCCCAGCCUUCAGCAACCACUACCCAGAUCAGUCAGUAGCCAUCAACACUGA